rnacentral:rRNA from 1 species
AUAUUGGACAAUGGGGGCAACCCUGAUCCAGCCAUGCCGCGUGUGUGAGGAAGGUCUUCGGAUUGUAAAGCACAUUAAGUAGGGAGGAAGGGCUGUAGGCUAAUACCCGGAAGUUUUGACGUUACCAACAGAAUAAUCACCGGCUAACUCUGUGACAGCAGGCGCGGUAAUACAGAGGGUGCAAGCGUUAAUCGGAAUUACUGGGCGUAAAGCGCGCGUAGGUGGUUCAGUAAGAUGGGUGUGAAAUCCCCGGGCUUAACCUGGGAACUGCUUUCAUAACUGCUGAGCUAGAGUACGGUAGAGGGUAGUGGAAAUUCCUGUGUAGCGGUGAAAUGCGUAGAUAUAGGAAGGAACACCAGUGGCGAAGGCGACUACCUGGACUGAUACUGACACUGAGGUGCGAAAGCGUGGGGAGCAAACA